rnacentral:lncRNA from 1 species
GCACAGGGAUGCGCUCCGGCAGGUCCAGCCCGCUCGCCGCGUGUUUGCUCAUCCCGGGGGAGCCCAUCCGGCACUUUGAAUGCUUCCCCCACACAACACCUCUAACCGAGCAGGAGCAAUCUGAUCCCCCAGCUGGAGUGAUGGACUCCAGCAUCCCAGAGGAAUGGAGACUGGGCCAACCCGAGGCAGGAAGACCUGCUUACCAGCCAUCCCCAGGACCUGUGACCUGCUACCUGUGACCUGCCACCUGUGACCUGCCACCUGCGACCUGCGGGAGGUGAUGAGGCCAGCUGAGUGAGAGCUUUGGGGGGCCCAGAAGGAAUCAAUGUUUCCUUGGAUCUGUGACAGUUGACUUCUCCUCCCGGACCCCCUACCCUUGACUGCCUCGAGAAUGAGGCCUCUUACAGCAGUGGUUCUGGUCAGGUAUAAACGUGGGUCCAAGCCUGGCCACGCACAUCCAUCAUCCCCGAGAACGGUGGCCCAGGUGUGGCAUGGCCUGCAGGACAUGCCACGUACGAGCCCUCGACCAGGCCUGAAGCUGAAGUCCAGCCCCUGCCCCCACCGGGGUCUUCAUUGACCGCUGAGAUGGGCUCCCUGCUCCAUCAACUGGAGAUUUUCCGAAGUUAAAUUCAAAGUUGCUAGUGGUUUUGAGUCACCUUUUCUUCUUUUUUUUUUCAAUAGCGACUCUUGAGUGAAAAUUAGGCUGUUGUGUGGGUGGCUGUGAAGGGUGCCUCAUUUCCACAUCGGAGAGCUACCCACACAGCAGAUUUUGGUAGCACUUGAAGUGGGACCUGAUUUUGCCUCUCAGCUGCUAUAUUAAAAUAAAAAGCCCUUAAGCUGAUUAUAAAGAUACCAAUUUAAAUGUAUGGAUACCAUUUCCGUGAGGGAAGGGCUGUCUUCAUUGAUUCUCUGAGACCUCAUGUCCCCUGCGGGGGUGUGUGUCACACCUGCCUUCUAGCACUCUCAGCAGGGAACAGCCCGGGGCCGGGACAGACCGGGUGGCUGUGAAAAGGGCACUGGACAGAGAAUCAGGUAGCUGAGCCUUGGGCCCAGCUCUCCGGCUAACUCGCAUCCCAUUCUCUGUCCACGCGGCAACAUUCACACCUGCUUACCCAACUGACCACGUCACCCCAAGGACUGGAUGAGCCAUGGGUUGGCAUAACUCCCUGCGCCCCCACUAAGCUGUCCUUGGUUUAUCACUGUUGCUCACUCCCGAGGUGUUUAGUGACUGGGGGACAACCAGCUGCUCCUGCUUUUGUCCCAUGCCAAAUUGUCUUUGGGUUCCUUUGGAAGAAUCCCGGGCCUUUACCACUUUCAUUCAGCCUAUUGAAUAGCCUCUCAACUAGUCUUGUCUCCACUUGGACACCAGGGGAAAAGAGAGGAUUGCUGGAGGUGGUCGGAGAAGUUGAGGGAAGCCACAGUCCUCGCAGGAGGAAAUCCAGCCAUCCCCAGUGGGGGUCCGUGGUGGAGGAAGCUGUAGCACCUGCCCCCACCUCUGCUCUCUGCCAGGGAUCUGAAGGCCACAGUGGGAUGGGGCGAGCAGCGGACCAGAGAAUGAGUUAAAACAGGCAGGAUCUGGCCCUUUCGGUGGACCUUUCUCAUCACCAGAGGGGCUGAAAGGUCAGGAGAUCAGGUCAUUUGGAAGCUGCUGCCUUAGUGAGGAAAGGACACAGUUGGUGGGAAAUGAUGGAGAAAAGCAAAACCAUUCCAUGGUGAUUCCUUUCUUGAUAUGCUGCUCAUCAGAGUGCAGGGGUGCGCCCCUGCCAUGGCAGGUGCUCACUCAUGCUCUGACCUCCCAGCAGCCCCCCUGACCCAGAAAUUAGUGGUGCUGUUCUCACAACGGGGAGCACUGAGGUCCAGAGAGGUCAGAACCUCGGCCAGAGCUGCACAGCAGGCCAGGAACCAGCAGAGAAUGGAAUACAGACCUGUCAGACUCCAAAGCCCAGCCUGCCAGGAUUGAUGCUCCCUGAGCAUCUUUUAUGCACCUUUUGCUUUUCCUGGGUUCUCUCUCUUCCAACUGGGAGGCCACCAUUAUUACAUUACUUUACCAGGAAAGUCCCCUCCAGAGCACCGUGCUGGAAUUUUGAGGCUGGCGUUAGUCUAACAACAAAUCCAAUUUUCUCCCCAGACUGGCCAGCCGCUCCAUCCAGAGUCCUGCAAGAUUGCUUAGCAGUGCCCAGCUGGGCAGUGUGGCCGUAUGCCCGCAGACCAUGAUUUCUUUGGCCUUUGGGCUCAGCUAAAAUGCAGUCCUCUGACAGCUCUUCCCUGCUUUCGGAAACUGUUCUCACCUCGAGCCCUUGCUUUUUGGUCUGAAACCACAGGCACCUUGAGAGUAGACAAAGAAGCCAGGCCCAUUCCGAUGACCCUGGCCCUCCCUCGCCCCCGAGAGAACUGUUUCCACAGGACCUUCCUGCCGGCCCUCUGAAGAUGGAUUGGGGGCAGCAUGGCUACAAAGGAGAAACAUUCAGUCCCGAGGAUGCCAUUUUGAAGUCUGUUAAAAAUAAAUGCCGAGGCUCUUUGCUUUGGUUAUGUAUGCAGAGAGAGACAGAGACUCACCUCCCAGAUCCCCCACGCUCACCAAGUCACAUAUUCAGCCACUGUUGGAUCAGCAUCCACGCGAGCGUGCCACCAGGAGUCAAAGCACCGUGAGCAAGACCGUGGCCUUGGGACAUUCCUGGCCUGGACAAGGAUCCAGAAGCACACAUGUCCCGGCCACCCUGGAGAGAUGUAGGAAGCACAACUAGGACAGUGGAGGAAGGGACUGAUGAGCGUUGGCACCAGAGCCGUCUGUCAGGAACGAAUUGCUCGGACAACGUCCAGCCGAGGUGUUAGCUAGUGAAUGGGAAUGUCCCCAGAGCCGGAGAGGUGCCAACAGCAGCCCCAGCAGAGGCAGUGCGUGCAGAGACCUGGAAGAGAGGGUGUGGCGAGUUGGGGAGCAUCCCGUGAGCCCAAGGACUAGGGCCCAGCUGGCGAGGGGCAGGGCUAGGUCCCUGCUGGCCAUGGAGACAGGCAGGGAGUCACACUGGGGAAACUGAGGCCCAGAAACUCAUAUGUCUGUGAUCAAUAGAUGGUGGGGAGUGUGGGAGCUAAGAGAGGCUCCCUCGGGGCCAGCAGUCCAGACCCAGGGUAUGUUUUCUCCCCAGAUGAGUUUGUGCAGAGACGCUGAAGGCGUGUGGGGCUGUGAACAGGACUCUAACUCUCUUGCAAACAGAUUCUCCAGUGAGUCUUUGAGCGCAGAUGGGAGAGGAAGAGGAGUCUCGCAGCUGGAGCUGGGAGGAAGAAUGGGUCAUCCAGCAGGAAUUGCUUUGCAACCUCAAAUAAAAGUCAUUAGGUAUUCAGGGUCCUCUGUCUUAGUGUGUGUGGGAGCCAUGGGGCAGCCACAGAAGCCUGCAGCCUGCGUGCCGUCGGGAGGCUCUUCCCUCGUCGGGCACGAAGCUUGCGCAGCCACCCCUUGGGUCCCACCGCUGCCAGCGGUGGCCUCCCUUGACCAAAUCCAGCCACCCCACCCCCCAGGAAACUCACGAUCAUCCUUCCUGUCUUCGAACUUUCGUAGUGCUUUUCAUAGCAUCUGUGUGUCCGGGGGUAGGCGGUAGAUCUUGCUAUUUAAUUAAAAAACAAAACAAAAAGCCAGACAUUAAGGAGCAGGAGAGAGAGUGGGUCUCCCAGUAAAUGAUGAAUCCUGUUUUGUCUUAGGCAGGUUACUCAUUCACUUAGGGGCUCAGUUCCCUCAUCUGUGAAAUGGGAACAAAGGUCCCCGGUUUGCACGGUUGUUGUGAGGACACAGGUGGUGUAUUUGACGUCCCUGACUCGGGCCACGCGCGUGCACACAUCUUGUCUUCCUCCGCAGCUGGCUCCCGUGGGACGAGGACCAUCACUCGGCCUCCUGGCCCUUCCCGCUCCCCUCGCCUCGUGCUCAACAGGGACAGCAUCGUGCUGGGCACCUGGUGGGAAUUUCGUGGCUAUUUGGCAAAUGCUGCCCACACUCAGCUUCUCUUUCUCUCCUGUGCUCUAACUCCUCGUUUCUUCAGGGCUUGGGGCAGCACAGCCCAGGUGAGCCACCAAUGUUUCAAAUCCAAGACGGCAAAGAUGGAAUGCAUCCUCCGGCCUGCGGCUCCUCCUCUCGACCACCCUUCCCCGACAUCCCUGCCACACCCUCGUCAUCUCCUCUUCACCCUGUUUCUGGAGCCUGGGCUGCAGAGGGCCGUCACUCCUGAGCAGCGCAGAAAGGCUAUCCAUGGUGGGCAUCGGGAGGACUCCUGGCUUAGCUAGUUUCUAGAACCUUCCUUGUGUGGCAGGCCCCAGACAGCAUUAGAGCCGCUCUCUGAUGGCAACUACUCCCCAGAUCUCUUGGGUGAUCUGAGAUCAUCAUGUAAGUGGUGGCAAUGAGUGUCCAAGUAACUUCUGAACCUGCUUCCUCCCCGAUAAGCAGGAAUUGAUAACAGAACCUAUGUCUUUGGGGCACCUGGCUGGCUCAGUUGGUUAUGCAUCUGACUUUGGCUCAGGUCAUGAUCCCGAGGUCCUGGGAUUGAGCCCCACAUCAAGCCCCACGUCAAACUCCGAGUUGAGCCUGGGGGGUUCCCUGCUUAGCAUGGAAGUCUGCUUGUCCCUCUGCCCCUCCUCCUGCUUGUGCUCUCUCUCUCUCUCUCAAGCAAAUUAUUAAAAUCUUUUUUU